UACGGGGGUGGCAAGCGUUGUUCGGAAUUACUGGGCGUAAAGGGCGCGUGGGCGGGGAGGUAAGUCGGGUGUGAAAUCCCUCGGCUCAACCGAGGAACUGCGCCCGAGACUGCCUUUCUUGAGUCCCGGAGAGGAAGGUGGAAUUCCCGGUGUAGCGGUGAAAUGUGUAGAGAUCGGGAGGAACACCGGUGGCGAAGGCGGCCUUCUGGACCAACACUGACACUGAGGAGCGAAAGCCAGGGGAGCAAACGGG
rnacentral:rRNA from 1 species